rnacentral:tRNA from 1 species
CUCCUUUCAGGAUUUGUGCUGAGCAUUCUGCUCAUCUUCGGAUGGGGGAAUUUGGCACAUUCUGCGAAUAAAAAGUCCUAGGCUGGAUAGUUUAGGCACAUCAUCCUGUUUUUUGAUGUUGUCAUGAAGCGCCAUCAACGUAUCCCUUUCCUGUAACAGCGGCGGCACCGGUUGGUCUGGUGCGCACCGAUGCGGACUUAAACUUCUUAAGUUCAAAACUCUUGGGCUAGUAGCUCAGUUGGUUAGAGCACACGCUUGAUAAGCGUGGGGUCGGAGGUUCAAGUCCUCCCUGGCCCACCAUGCAAAUGGUGGCAGCACUGAAGAGUGUUGUUAAAAGACUGGGGAUGUAGCUCAAUUGGUAGAGCACCUGCUUUGCAAGCAGGGGGUCGUCGGUUCGAUUCCGUCCAUCUCCACCAUGUUUGGUAUGGAGAGGCGGGCUUUUAAAGCCUGCCUUGGAAUGUUGUUACAGGUAAGCACGAGUUUCAAGUAUCGUUACCUUGUUCCUGCAAAGGUCAAGGCGAUGAGGCUUGGAUGUUUGUUCCCAGCUGCAAAGUCAUGGAACGAAUUUGUUCUUUGUCAGUGUGAAUAGGUUUUGGUGCAUCUGGAUGCGCGUAUUGAUCGUAAGGUCAGUCCGAGCCUCUUGUGUUGGGUUGUCUGACCCGUGGAGAGCGUAAGCUUGAAGCGAAACACGAGAAAGGUUUGAGUGUUCAGUGCAUGUGUGUGAUCUCAUCUGCCAAAUCAGUCAAACGCUGUUGGAGGAUCGGUUCAUUCGCUGAAGUUUGGUUUACUGGCUGUUCCUAGCGGUUUGUAAGCUUGAUGGAGAAGGAUCGGAAAUCUGAUGGAUGGUUCUGUUUAUGUGGGUGUUUAUGGUGGGUAGCACGCAAGAGUUUGUCAAUACUCUUGUUGUGU